rnacentral:lncRNA from 1 species
UAUUGAUUGACUCAAAUCUCAUAUCUAAGUAAAUUUUGAAAAAUUAGAUUUAUAUUUUUCGGUCUUAAAACUGUAACACGAGUAAGAUUUUAAUCAUCGGACUUUAAUGUGUUAUGAUUUAAACUAUGAGGCAUGUGAUAUUUUCAUCCUCAAACUUUAAUUAAUUGUAAUUUCUAACUUGAAAUAUGAGAUAUAUCAUUUUAGUCAUCAACCUUUAUUACUACUAUAAAUAUAAUUUAUUAUUCGUAUAAUUUUCGCCCUAUUUUUUUAAUCCUUUUUAUUAUUUUUAUAUUUUUAUUACAGUAAUAGUAGUUUAUCUCUCAAUUUUUUUUUAUAUUUAUAUAUAAUUCCUUAACUCUUUUUAUUUUAUUUUAUUUAUUUUUAUAUUUUUAUUACAGUAAUAGUUGUUUAUCCCUUAGUUAUUUUUUUUAUAUAAUUCCUUAACUCUUUUUAUUUUAUUUUAUUUAUUUAUUUUUACAGAAC